rnacentral:rRNA from 1 species
UACGGGGGGGGCAAGCGUUGUUCGGAAUUACUGGGCGUAAAGGCCUCGUAGGCGGCCAACUAAGUCGGAUGUGAAAUCCCCAGGCUUAACCUGGGAACUGCAUCCGAUACUGGUUGGCUUGAAUUCGGGAGAGGGACGCAGAAUUCCAGGUGUAGCGGUGAAAUGCGUAGAUAUCUGGAGGAAUACCGGUGGCGAAGGCGGCAUCCUGGACCGACAUUGACGCUGAGGAGCGAAAGCUAGGGGAGUAAACGGG